GUUGUACACAGUAAGAGGCCUUAAUUUAAUUAAAUUGUCUGAGUUGCAUUUAGAAGAUGUAAGUGGAGUCUUGCAGGUCUUA
rnacentral:tRNA from 1 species